rnacentral:rRNA from 1 species
GACGAACGCUGGCGGCGUGCCUAAUACAUGCCAGUAGAACGCUGAAGGAGGAGCUUGCUUCUCUGGAUGAGUUGCGAACGGGUGAGUAACGCGUAGGUAACCUGCCUGGUAGCGGGGGAUAACUAUUGGAAACGAUAGCUAAUACCGCAUAAGAGUAGAUGUCGCAUGACAUUUGCUUAAAAGGUGCAAUUGCAUCACUACCAGAUGGACCUGCGUUGUAUUAGCUAGUUGGUGAGGUAACGGCUCACCAAGGCAACGAUACAUAGCCGACCUGAGAGGGGGAUCGGCCACACUGGGACUGGGACACGGCCCAGACUCCUACGGGAGGCAGCAGUAGGGAAUCUUCGGCAAUGGACGGAAGUCUGACCGAGCAACGCCGCGUGAGUGAAGAAGGUUUUCGGAUCGUAAAGCUCUGUUGUAAGAGAAGAACGAGUGUGAGAGUGGAAAGUUCACACUGUGACGGUAUCUUACCAGAAAGGGACGGCUAACUACGUG